rnacentral:rRNA from 2 species
CCGAGUCUUAAUUGGGCGUUAAGUUGCAGGGUAUAGACCCGAAACCCGGUGAUCUAGCCAUGGGCAGGUUGAAGGUUGGGUAACACUAACUGGAGGACCGAACCGACUAAUGUUGAAAAAUUAGCGGAUGACCUGUGGCUGGGGGUGAAAGGCCAAUCAAACCGGGAGAUAGCUGGUUCUCCCCGAAAGCUAUUUAGGUAGCGCCUCGUGAAUUCAUCUCCGGGGGUAGAGCACUGUUUCGGCUAGGGGGCCAUCCCGGCUUACCAACCCGAUGCAAACUGCGAAUACCGGAGAAUGUUAUCACGGGAGACACACGGCGGGUGCUAACGUCCGUCGUGAAGAGGGAAACAACCCAGACCGCCAGCUAAGGUCCCAAAGUCAUGGUUAAGUGGGAAACGAUGUGGGAAGGCCCAGACAGCCAGGAUGUUGGCUUAGAAGCAGCCAUCAUUUAAAGAAAGCGUAAUAGCUCACUGGUCGAGUCGGCCUGCGCGGAAGAUGUAACGGGGCUAAACCAUGCACCGAAGCUGCGGCAGCGACACUGUGUGUUGUUGGGUAGGGGAGCGUUCUGUAAGCCUGUGAAGGUGUGUCGUGAGGCAUGCUGGAGGUAUCAGAAGUGCGAAUGCUGACAUAAGUAACGAUAAAGCGGGUGAAAAGCCCGCUCGCCGGAAGACCAAGGGUUCCUGUCCAACGUUAAUCGGGGCAGGGUGAGUCGACCCCUAAGGCGAGGCCGAAAGGCGUAGUCGAUGGGAAACGGGUUAAUAUUCCCGUACUUGGUGUUACUGCGAAGGGGGGACGGAGAAGGCUAUGUUGGCCGGGCGACGGUUGUCCCGGUUUAAGCGUGUAGGUGUGUGUUCCAGGUAAAUCCGGUUCACUUUAACACUGAGGCGUGACGACGAGGCACUACGGUGCUGAAGCAACAAAUGCCCUGCUUCCAGGAAAAGCCUCUAAGCAUCAGGUAACAUCAAAUCGUACCCCAAACCGACACAGGUGGUCAGGUAGAGAAUACCAAGGCGCUUGAGAGAACUCGGGUGAAGGAACUAGGCAAAAUGGUGCCGUAACUUCGGGAGAAGGCACGCUGACACGUAGGUGAAGUGAUUUACUCAUGGAGCUGAAGUCAGUCGAAGAUACCAGCUGGCUGCAACUGUUUAUUAAAAACACAGCACUGUGCAAACACGAAAGUGGACGUAUACGGUGUGACGCCUGCCCGGUGCCGGAAGGUUAAUUGAUGGGGUCAGCGCAAGCGAAGCUCCUGAUCGAAGCCCCGGUAAACGGCGGCCGUAACUAUAACGGUCCUAAGGUAGCGAAAUUCCUUGUCGGGUAAGUUCCGACCUGCACGAAUGGCGUAAUGAUGGCCAGGCUGUCUCCACCCGAGACUCAGUGAAAUUGAACUCGCUGUGAAGAUGCAGUGUACCCGCGGCAAGACGGAAAGACCCCGUGAACCUUUACUAUAGCUUGACACUGAACAUUGAGCCUUGAUGUGUAGGAUAGGUGGGAGGCUUUGAAGUGUGGACGCCAGUCUGCAUGGAGCCGACCUUGAAAUACCACCCUUUAAUGUUUGAUGUUCUAACGUGGACCCGUUACCCGGGUUGCGGACAGUGUCUGGUGGGUAGUUUGACUGGGGCGGUCUCCUCCUAAAGAGUAACGGAGGAGCACGAAGGUUGGCUAAUCCUGGUCGGACAUCAGGAGGUUAGUGCAAUGGCAUAAGCCAGCUUGACUGCGAGCGUGACGGCGCGAGCAGGUGCGAAAGCAGGUCAUAGUGAUCCGGUGGUUCUGAAUGGAAGGGCCAUCGCUCAACGGAUAAAAGGUACUCCGGGGAUAACAGGCUGAUACCGCCCAAGAGUUCAUAUCGACGGCGGUGUUUGGCACCUCGAUGUCGGCUCAUCACAUCCUGGGGCUGAAGUAGGUCCCAAGGGUAUGGCUGUUCGCCAUUUAAAGUGGUACGCGAGCUGGGUUUAGAACGUCGUGAGACAGUUCGGUCCCUAUCUGCCGUGGGCGCUGGAGAACUGAGGGGGGCUGCUCCUAGUACGAGAGGACCGGAGUGGACGCAUCACUGGUGUUCGGGUUGUCAUGCCAAUGGCACUGCCCGGUAGCUAAAUGCGGAAGAGAUAAGUGCUGAAAGCAUCUAAGCACGAAACUUGCCCCGAG